UACGUAGGGUGCAAGCGUUGUCCGGAAUUAUUGGGCGUAAAGAGCUCGUAGGCGGUCUGUCGCGUCUGCUGUGAAAACCUGGGGCUUAACCCCGGGCCUGCAGUGGGUACGGGCAGACUAGAGUGUGGUAGGGGAGACUGGAAUUCCUGGUGUAGCGGUGAAAUGCGCAGAUAUCAGGAGGAACACCGGUGGCGAAGGCGGGUCUCUGGGCCAUAACUGACGCUGAGACGCGAAAGCGUGGGGAGCAAACAGG
rnacentral:rRNA from 1 species